GACGGAGGAGGCUAGCGUUGUUCGGAAUUACUGGGCGUAAAGCGCGCGCGGGCGGUUAUGCAAGUCAGGGGUGAAAGCCCGGGGCUCAACCUCGGAACGGCCUUUGAGACUGCAUGACUUGAGACCGGAAGAGGAGAGUGGAAUUCCCAGUGUAGAGGUGAAAUUCGUAGAUAUUGGGAAGAACACCAGUGGCGAAGGCGGCUCUCUGGUCCGGUUACUGACGCUGAGGCGCGAAAGCGUGGGGA
rnacentral:rRNA from 1 species